rnacentral:lncRNA from 1 species
CUACCUAGUACCUCGUUAUAAGUAACAAUUGUUAAAAGCUAACUCAAUUCGUAUAACAAAUUGUAGUAAUGAAAUUAUCAUAGUUAACCUGACAUGUACGUGACGCUUAUGAUGAAGAACAUCUUAGUCAUGGUUAAGUCUAAUUAACGAUUGGAUAUUUUGAAGAAAGUCGAUAAAAAAUUGUCAGUUGAUAUAUAAAGGAUUGUUUUAAUACUGGGCAUUCACGUUGUGGCC